GUCUGGACUUAUAUUUUCUAACAGUUUUUUUAGUUUUUAGUUUUUUAGUAGUUAUAGCCUCCAGCAGAAAGAACAACAGUCAAGUGGGAACCCAAAAGAGGGAUGAUUUAUGUAGUAAAUGAGGGAGAUGAGGAGGUCCUCAGAGGCAGGCAUGCAGCACAGUUCACUGAUGCCUUGCCAUUCCUGUCUUUUGACUGUGCCAGUCUACCUCUGACUCAUUCUACAAGGUGUUUAAGAGUUUAGUUUGUUUUUGAGGUCUCCACUCACAGGAUAAUGAGGGCAGGCCACUCAAGACUUUAGGUAACCUGAGCGAUAUAACUCGCAAAAAACACGCACUGUAGUGUAGUCAGUGUAGUCCCCACAUAAGGUCAGACAAUUUCUUUAGGUACAUUUUGAGAAGCGCACCAGCAUGGAGCUCCUCAACGGUAAGGAGCUUGUCACCGAUGAGGAGUACCUCCGUGGUCAAGCCCAGGAUCCAGUCCAGGAUCCAGGGCAGCAGCGACGCCAGCGGACACCACAUCAGCGUUACCGGAGGCCGGCCCAGCGACCAGCCCAGGGGACCAUACAUAAAAAAAUUGGGGGGUCUAUGAGGGGCUGGGAGGUAGGUAUGUGGGAGGUAGAGCCCCUGCUGCCUGCUGAUCCCUGUGCCGCUCCCCAGCCUAGAGCCUCCAGUACCACCCUUGGAGGGGUGGGACACUGCUGCCACCGCCUCCUUUUUUCAGGAAAUGGGCAGAGAAUAUGCAAUCAUAGCCUCACGGUGAAGCUAGUUCCACCAAAGGGCUGAGAGAACAGAGUAUAGAUUUGAUAGGGCAGAUCAAAAGCUGUCUUCCUGUAGAGGCCAAAAACCCAGAAGUGGCAGAAGAAAGAACCUAGGUUGAGAUGAAAAUGUUGAGCAUGAGGAGGGGCAGCUCUUCCUGCUGUGCUGCAGGAAAGCACAAUAGCUUUCCUAUGAAGAGCUGGAAGAUGGCAAAUUCAGGUUUAAUUGACAGCCCUUAGGCUGGCUUCUGUAGUUCUUGGAGAAUAAUUCCUAUCCAAUACCCUCUUCCUUCCUUCCCCUCUGCCGUCUCUACAAGACCUACACACCUGCAGAACAUGGAGGCGAGCGGCUAAGAUUGGGGCUGAUCCCUCUCAACCUGAAAAUGGACUAUUCAGAACUCUCCCAGCUGGCAGGAGUUUGAGGUCUAUCAGGACCAAAACCUCUCGUCAUAAGAAGUUUCUUUCCUACAGUAGUAGGCCUCAUAAAUAUGCCCCUGGAGCCAAACUGACUAUAGCCUGCUCCCCACAUACUGUAGACACACAACCCUCAACUGGACAAAUCUAUAACCCCUCCCCACAUAUACACACAACCCUCAACUGGACGAAUCUAGAACCCCUCCCCACAUAUACA
rnacentral:lncRNA from 1 species